rnacentral:rRNA from 1 species
GACGAACGCUGGCGGCGUGCUUAACACAUGCAAGUCGAACGGAAAGGCCCUGCUUUUGUGCUGUGCUCGAGUGCCGAACGGGUGCGUAACACGUGAGUAACCUGCCCUUGACUUUGGGGUAACUUCAGGAAACUGGGGCUAAUACCGGAUAGGAGCUCCUGCUGCAUGGUGGGGGUUGGAAAGUUUCGGCGGUUGGGGAUGGACUCGCGGCUUAUCAGCUUGUUGGUUGGGUAGUGGCUUACCAAGGCUUUGACGGGUAGCCGGCCUGAGAGGGUGACCGGCCACAUGGGGACUGAGAUACGGCCCAGACUCCUACGGGAGGCAGCAGUGGGGAAUAUUGCACAAUGGGAGGAAGCCUGAUGCAGAAACGCCGCGUGCGGGAUGACGGCCUGCGGGUUGUAAACCGCUUUCGCCUGUGACGAAGCGUGAGUGACGGUAAUGGGUAAAGAAGCACCGGCUAACUACGUG